UUUAUGUACGCUGGAUAUAAUAUAUGAUAGCCUAUUGGAAAGUGAUUUAAAUUUGCAGAGCAAUCCGGAUUGCAAACUUGAUGAAUAUAUAUCAGAAGCGAUGGACAUAGCUGUAACAAGAGUAGUGAAAUUCUGGUUACAUCCAAAUAUUAUAUUUAACAAUUCAUCUAU
rnacentral:lncRNA from 1 species